CUUAUUGAAGUUAGCGGCGGACGGGUGAAGUAACACGUGGGUAACCUGCCCAUAAGACUGGGAUAACUCCGGGAAACCGGGGCUAAUACCGGAUAACAUUUUGAACCGCAUGGUUCGAAAUUGAAAGGCGGCUUCGGCUGUCACUUAUGGAUGGACCCGCGUCGCAUUAGCUAGUUGGUGAGGUAACGGCUCACCAAGGCAACGAUGCGUAGCCGACCUGAGAGGGUGAUCGGCCACACUGGGACUGAGACACGGCCCAGACUCCUACGGGAGGCAGCAGUAGGGAAUCUUCCGCAAUGGACGAAAGUCUGACGGAGCAACGCCGCGUGAGUGAUGAAGGCUUUCGGGUCGUAAACUCUGUUGUUAGGGAAGAACAAGUGCUAGUUGAAUAAGCUGGCACCUUGACGGUACCUAACCAGAAAGCCACGGCUAACUACGUGCCAGCAGCCGCG
rnacentral:rRNA from 1 species